rnacentral:rRNA from 1 species
GGGUAGUCCAGGCUGUAAACGAUGCGGGCUAGGUGUCACCAGAGCUACGAGCUCCGGUGGUGCCGUAGGGAAGCCGUUAAGCCCGCCGCCUGGGAAGUACGGCCGCAAGGCUGAAACUUAAAGGAAUUGGCGGGGGAGCACUACAACGGGUGGAGCCUGCGGUUCAAUUGGAUUCAACGCCGGGAAGCUUACCGGGGGAGACAGCUCGGUGAAGGUCGGGCUGAAGACCCUACCAGAGUAGCUGAGAGGUGGUGCAUGGCCGCCGUCAGUUCGUACUGUGAAGCGUUCUGUUAAGUCAGAUAACGAACGAGACCCUCGCCCCUAGUUGCUAUCGUUCCCUCCGGGGAACGAGCACACUAGGGGGACCGCCGGCGCUAAGCCGGAGGAAGGGGAGGCAACGAUAGGUCCGUAUGCCCCCGAAUCCCCCCGGGNUACACGCGCGCUACAAAGGACGGGACAAUGGGUUCCGACGCCCGAAAGGGCGGAGGGGUAAUCCCGAAAACCGUCCGUAGUUCGGAUCGAGGGGCUGUAACCCGCCUCGUGAAGGU